rnacentral:lncRNA from 1 species
UGGUCCUGUGUGGGACUAGAAAGAGGACAUCUUUCCAGCACAAAUACCUGAAUAAAAGAUCUCACGACUAUACUGUCAAAAAGAAGGAACCUGAGGAAGUCACUUAUAGGCCAAAAAGAAAAAAAAAAAAGCCUGCGGUUCCUUGAAGUCACCAGUUCUACUGGGAACCUCCAUCUUCUACAAGCCCCUGGGUUUACAGAAUGACAAAAUGCCUAUCAGCUCAAAUGUCACCUCCUUAGGUAAGCUUUACUGACCACCCAAGUAACUAUGCU